rnacentral:tRNA from 1 species
GGGUGAUUAGCUCAGUUGGUUAGAGCGCUACGUUGACAUCGUAGAGGUCACUAGUUCGAGUCUAGCAUCACCCACCA